GACACAUUGACAAGUGUCAGAUGACAGAUGACAGAUGACAGAAGUCGCACAUAAACUAUCGACGAGCAAAAAUCAAUGGAUGACGUCACAAAUAUCCUGCAUCGCACAUCUUAAGUUUGCAUGCAAAUUAACACAGAUAGAAAAUCCCAACGAACAACAGUUGGGCAGAAAGCCCGCCAGGCUGAUCACCUCGCCUGGUCGGAGGAUCCUCCUUUUCUUAGGGAACUUUACUCUCUGUUCCCUAAAGUGGUGACCCCCGACGUGAAUGAAACCAACCUUCACGGAGCAGAUCAGCACCGUCAUCCUUAUCGCCAUCUCCCUCACCCAUCACUUCUCCGCUGAGCGGUAAUCAAGUCGCAGCCAACCAGCAUCCGGCCUCAUCAGGGACCACCACACGCUACAUCGAAGAUAUGCAGCCUGGUUCUUCCCUACGGCCUCAUCGGCGUCUAGGCACAGCACUCUGCACACGGUCUGAGGACGUCUUCCUCCCGUCAAAGCAGACGCCAGCCACUACGCACCUACCCUCGCAGCAUCUAUUCCCCGACUCACCGUGGGACACUGCGAGCUUCACUACUCCGACUCACUGGAGUAUCACCCUGCACCGCUCACCCGACUCACUGGGCAUUCAGCGGCACAGUUCCGACUCACUGGAACUAAGGGACAUUCUACACUGGCUCUGGCACCGCUCAUCUCAAGCAUCGACAGCCGUCUCAACAGGAUCAACCUCCGGUCUUGGGGGGGAGUGAUGUGGCGACACUGACAAAUGACAGAUGACAGAAGUCGCACAUAGACUAUCGACGAGCAAAUCAAUGGAUGACGUCACAAAUAUCCUGCAUCGCACAUAUGAAGUUUGCGUGCGAAUUAACACGGAUAGAAAAUCUCAACGAACAACAGUUGGGCAGAAAGCCCGCCAGGCUGAUCACCUCGCCUGGUCGGAGGAUCCUCCUUUGCUUAGGGAACUUUACUCUCUGUUCCCUAAAGUAU